rnacentral:misc_RNA from 1 species
GAAAGUAAAAGUCGUAACAAGGUUUCCGUAGGUGAACCUGCGGAAGGAUCAUUAUUGUAUAACCGAGGUGCGAGGGCUGUCGCUGACCCGAAAGGUCGUGCACGCCCGAGUGCCCUCACACACAUCCAUCUCACCCCUAUGUGCACCACCGCGUGGGUCCCCCUUUGGCUUGUUCGGAGGGGGGCUUACGUUUUCACACAAACUUUGUAUGCAGUAGAACGUAUUUUUUGUUUUUGCGAUCACGCAAUCAAUACAACUUUCAACAACGGAUCUCUUGGCUCUC